rnacentral:sRNA from 1 species
GGAGUGAGGGGAGCAGCUGGACCAAGAUGGCGGCCGCCGACGGACCUGCGUGCGACGGCGAGCUGUGGCAGACCUGGCUUCCUAACCACGUCGUGUUCUUGCGGCUCCGGGAGGGACUGAAAAACCAGAGUCCAGCCGAAGCUGAGAAACCAGCUUCUUCGUCGUUGCCUUCUUCGCCGCCGCCGCAGUUGCUGACGAGAAACGUGGUCUUUGGCCUCGGCGGAGAGCUCUUCCUGUGGGACGGAGAAGACAGCUCCUUCUUAGUCGUUCGCCUUCGGGGCCCCAGCGGCGGCGGUGAAGAGCCCGCCCUGUCCCAGUACCAGACGGAGUUUCGCUCUUGUUGCCCAGGCUGGAGUGCAGCGGCGCCAUCUCGGCUCACCGCAACCUCCGCCUUCCGGUUUCAAGCGAUUCUUCUGCCUCAGCCUCUCGAGUAGCUGGGAUUACGGAGAUUGCUUUGCAUAAAUCCACCCCUGUUUGAAAUCUAUCAAGUCUUGUUAAGCCCAACACAACAUCAUGUAGCACUUAUAGGAAUAAAAGGACUUAUGAUAUUAGAAUUACCUAAAAGAUGGGGGAAGA